CCUACGGGCGGCAGCAGUGAGGAAUAUUGGUCAAUGGGCGGGAGCCUGAACCAGCCAAGCCGCGUGAAGGAAGAAGGCGCCAAGCGUCGUAAACCUCUUUUGUCGGGGAACAAAGGGCGCCACGUGUGGCCUUGUGAGUGUACCCGAAGAAAAAGCAUCGGCUAACUCCGUGCCAGCAGCCGCGGUGAUACGGAGGAUGCGAGCGUUAUCCGGAUUUAUUGGGUUUAAAGGGUGCGUAGGUUGUUUUUUAAGUCAGCGGUGAAAGUUUGUGGCUCAACCAUAACAUUGCCGUUGAAACUGGAAGACUUGAGUGUGUUUGAGGUAGGCGGAAUGCGUGGUGUAGCGGUGAAAUGCAUAGAUAUCACGCAGAACUCCGAUUGCGAAGGCAGCUUACUAAGCCAUAACUGACACUGAAGCACGAAAGCGUGGGGAUCGAACAGGAUUAGAUACCCGAGUAGUC
rnacentral:rRNA from 1 species